rnacentral:rRNA from 1 species
AACGAACGCUGGCGGCAGGCUUAACACAUGCAAGUCGAGCGCCCCGCAAGGGGAGCGGCAGACGGGUGAGUAACGCGUGGGAAUCUACCCAUCUCUACGGAAUAACGCAUGGAAACGUGUGCUAAUACCGUAUACGUCCUUCGGGAGAAAGAUUUAUCGGAGAUGGAUGAGCCCGCGUUGGAUUAGCUAGUUGGUGGGGUAAAGGCCUACCAAGGCGACGAUCCAUAGCUGGUCGGAGAGGAUGAUCAGCCACACUGGGACUGAGACACGGCCCAGACUCCUACGGGAGGCAGCAGUGGGGAAUAUUGGACAAUGGGCGCAAGCCUGAUCCAGCCAUGCCGCGUGAGUGAUGGAGGCCCUAGGGUUGUAAAGCUCUUUCACCGGUGAAGAUAAUGACGGUAACCGGAGAAGAAGCCCCGGCUAACUUCGUGCCAGCAGCCGCCGUAACAC